rnacentral:rRNA from 1 species
AGAGAGAGACAUGCGCGCAUAUCAAUAAGCGGAGGAAAAGAAACUAACAAGGAUUCCCUUAGUAACGGCGAGUGAAGCGGGAAGAGCUCAAAUUUGAAAUCUUCAAGGUUUUACCUUGACGAAUUGUAGUUUAAAGAAGUGCUUUUCUGCUGAAGUUUUGGUAAAAGUUCUUUGGAAUAGGACAUCAUAGAGGGUGAGAAUCCCGUAUUUGACCAUUAUUUUCAGCUUUGUGAUACACUUUCAAAGAGUCGGAUUGUUUGGGAAUGCAGUCCAAAAUGGGUGGUAAAUUUCAUCUAAAGCUAAAUAUUGGCGAGAGACCGAUAGCGAACAAGUACCGUGAGGGAAAGAUGAAAAGAACUUUGAAAAGAGAGUUAAACAGUACGUGAAAUUGUCAAAAGGGAAGCGUUUGACACCAGUGUUGUUUUCUCGAAAAUCAAUUAAAAAUGGCUCGAUUUUGUAUUGUUGAGACCUUAAAAGCUCACUGUACAUUUUUCGUGUCUUUUUUAAUGCACUUUUCGUUUAACAAGUCAACAUCAGUUUCUUUUGUUGUAAAAGGGUCAUUGGAAGGUGGCUUUCUUUUCGGAGAAAGUGUUUAUAGCCUUUGGCCUCUGCAAUCGGAGAGAUUGAGGUCUGCAGCGUAGACUCCUUCGGGGUUAGAUACAUUUGUGCUAAGUUAUAGCCUUUUCAUAGACAACUUGUUGACUAUGAUCAGUCAUGUAGCUUACUCGCUUAUGCUAUUUUACCUACGCUUAGGAUGUUGAGUCGUAGAGCACGCAG